UCAGACAAAAUUUGUUCAAAAACCAACAAGUUUAACCACGGCCAGGUUACUAAGUUCAAAAACAAAAUCCAAGAUGGCCGCACGUCAGGCAAGUAUGAAUAUGCAUGAGGUCGAUUUGGAUGUAAAUAUUGACGAUGUCGAUGAAUUCGAACUGUGCGAUGAUAAAAGUACUAACGAGUGUUUUAGAAUUCUACCAGUACCAAGCUUGCCACACAGACUUGUUCUGCAUAUGAAAAGUGUUGCUGUUUAUGGCCGAAAUGUCAGAUCUAGAAAGUUUGUGGUGGGAUGAAUAAUAAUUCUUUGAAAAGAAUUUGGUCUGCUUGAUCAACAAUCACAGUGGAAUAUAGGUGAAAGAAAUCAGUUCCAUCCAUAUCAAAUCUCCUCCUUGAAUCAUAUCCACUCCUCGAAUCAUAUCCACACAUGGCAUUUUCAAAACCCUAUGACCAUUACCUUACAUCUGGUUCAGUCACGAAGUAAUUACCGGUACGGCUAAAACUGGAAAAGGAAGAGAAUAGUCCAAUUACAAAGAUAGACAAAGACAUUUUAUAUUGAGAAAAUGUGGCCUAAGUUAGGAUAGACUUUUCUAGGAUAGACAAAAUUUUUCAAUUUGAUAACUGGACCCCUUCCUGUGCCACCGUUUUUACUUCAUAGCCCUGAUCACUUUUCAAGUAGUCUGUCACUUACCUAGUGUUAAUAAUAUAUAAAGAAAAUAAUAAAUGAAUAAUAUUUAUUAACGCACCAACAAACACGUACUGUAACAGUUUAUCAGUGAUGUACGAUAUGAAUAAUCAGGUACAUGGAGUUAUGCUCCAAAACAAUGUUAUUUUAAAAAAAUAAUUAUAAUUUUUUUAAAUUUUUUA
rnacentral:lncRNA from 1 species